AUUAGAAUAGAAAUAAAACAAGUGUUAAAAUCACGUUCAAAUUAAUUUUCACAUGCCGUCGUGUUUAUUACUGAUAAUAUAUAAAAAUAGUAGAACGCUGUUAAUGAAAUCAGUGCAGUGAACUUUUACAUCUUGUGAUUUUGCAGGGAACAAAACGGUAUAAUGGAUCCGCAGUUUUCAUUUCCUUUUCCACCGUAUCCUAUACAAGAAAAGUUUAUGAGAGAGUUAUAUUUUACUAUCGAUCAUGCCAAACUUGGUAUUUUCGAGAGUCCAACUGGAACUGGUAAAUCAUUAAGCAUCUGCUGUGGAGCACUACAGUGGUUGAAGGACAACAACAAACGAAUAAUCAGUGAUUUGGAGUCAGACAUCACGAAGUUGAAAUUGGAAAUAUCUAGCAAUUCUAGUUCUGAUGACUGGCUCCAAGAAGAGUAUGAGAAAAUAAAAAAGAAUCAGGCAUUAUUGGAGCUUCAAAGUAAAUUAGAAAAAAUAAAAAAGAGAGAUGAAAAGUUGAAUGAGAUGAAGACCAGAGUCAAUAAAUUAAAACUGAAUGUAAGCAAUAAGACAAUUGCAAACUAUUUUCAAAAGACAGACAAAUAUAAAAAAGAUACUGAAAAUAAAGAGAAUCUUUCUGAGGUGGAUGAUGAUCUUCUUUUAGAAGAAUUUGCUGAUAAAGGUGAUAGUGAAAAUGAAUCUGAUGUUGAGGAAAUUGAAGAAAAUCAGGAUGAUUGGAUUAAAAUAUUAAUAGGCAGCAGGACCCACAGCCAGUUAUCACAAUUUGUGGGCGAGGUUAAGAGAACAGUGUUCAAAGACACCAGAGUGGUCACAUUGGCGUCCAGACAACAUUACUGCAUCAACACUGAUGUUGCAAGGCUGAAGAAUGUCAAUCUUAUUAAUGAAAGAUGUUUAGAUCUCCAAAAAUCGAAAAGUAAAUCAACAUUAGUAGACUCCGAGGGCCAAGUUUUAAAGAAAACUAAAAUGAAGUCUUGUUCAGGAUGUCCAUAUUAUAACCAGGGGAACAUAACUAAGUUAAAGGAGAGAUUACUUGUGGAUAUAAUGGAUAUGGAGGAGAUAGUGAAGUGUGGCAGAGAAUUGAAGGCGUGUCCGUAUUAUGCUUCUAGAGCAGCAAUGGAGGAAGCUGAGGUGGUGCUAAUGAGUCACGCCGGGGUGGCCAGUUCAGGUGCAAGAACCGGGAUUUCUCUCAAUCUGAAGAACAAUAUCCUAGUUUUGGACGAAGCCCACGGCCUCCCUGCGGCGUUGGAAAACGCUAAUUCCGCUCCGCUGUCCGAGAAACAUUUGUGUUGUGUGAAAACUUGUCUGAAGUUUUAUGUGAACAAGUACAGUUCAAGGUUGAAUAGUAAGAAUCUGUUGAGUUUGAACCAGAUGGGAUUUGUCGUUGGGAGAUUAUUAGGUUUCAUAAAGUCAUCUCAAAGCGACUUGAAGUCGCAAGAAGAGAAAACAAUAUACACAUUAGAAGAUUUCGUCGUAAAAGCCGAAAUAGACCACAUGAAUUUCAGACCGCUUAUAGAUUUCUGUAGAAAAACAAGGUUAGCGCCUAAACUACAUUCGUUUUCUAUGAGGUACAACCAAGAAGUGUUAGAGAGUGAAAUGUUAAAAGAAGAGUGUAAAAAGACCUCAUUUCAAGCGUUCAUGGAGAAUAUUAAAAAGAAAAAAGCAGGAGAAAUUGUCCAGCCAGUAGCGGAAGAAAAGAAGGAAGUAAAAGAAAAAGUAAUGUUGAAAGGGAAUCAAGAAAGUAAAGCCAAUAAGGAGAUACCAUCAGAUAUAUCAGCCGGCACUGGCUUGUACCAAGUGAUGGAAUUCCUAGAACUUCUAUGCGACCGUAGUGAAAAUGGCCGGGUUUUGGUACAAAAAGGGGACAAUCAAGGCGGCAGUUUGAAGUAUUUGCUGCUGAAUCCUACUGGACACUUCUCUGAUGUCAUAAAGCAGUGUCGUUCUGUGAUUCUAGCAGGCGGUACAAUGGAACCUGUAUCUGAAUUUCUAGAACUCCUAACUGGCGACAGCUCUAUGAAUGACAACGUGAACAUAGUUAAAUGCGAACAUGUCGUGCCUAGAGAGAACGUGUUAGCGCUGUGCGUGUCUAAAGGGCCUUCGCAGUUACCACUAAAUUUCUCUUACGAAAAUCGGAUGGCGAAAACCCUUCUCGAAGAAGUAGGCAAGAUACUUCGCAACAUAUGUUCGAUAGUGCCCGGCGGGGUUGUAUGUUUUCUACCGUCAUACAGCUAUGAAGAGGCUGUGUAUCAAGCUAUGGCCAAUAACGGAGUGUUAGACACGAUAAGUAAGAGGAAAAAAGUGUUUCGGGAGCCUAAAUCUGCUAGUGACGUUGAUCAGCGACGACCUAGGCCGAUGUGUGAUCGUCGUAGGAAUGCCUUAUCCAAACAUCAGAUCUCCCGAACUGAACGAGAAGAUGAAGUAUUUGGACAGAACUGUGGGACCAAAUGCCGGCCAUGUUUAUUACGAGAAUCUGUGUAUGAAAGCUGUCAACCAGUGCAUAGGUCGUGCAGUGAGACAUAUUAACGACUAUGCCAGCGUGCUCUUGGUAGAUGAGAGAUAUUCUAGAACUCAAACUAUUAAUUCAUUGCCAUCUUUUGUACAGAGGUCACUGGUCUCAAAUUGCAACUUCGGUAACACAAUGGGAAACAUAGUGAAAUUCUUUGCAAGGCAUAAACAGAAAACUACCAUGGAAA
rnacentral:misc_RNA from 1 species